rnacentral:rRNA from 1 species
UACGUAGGGUGCAAGCGUUGUCCGGAAUUAUUGGGCGUAAAGAGCUCGUAGGCGGUCUGUUGCGUCGGCUGUGAAAACCCGGGGCUCAACUCCGGGCCUGCAGCCGAUACGGGCAGACUAGAGUUCGGCAGGGGAGACUGGAAUUCCUGGUGUAGCGGUGAAAUGCGCAGAUAUCAGGAGGAACACCGGUGGCGAAGGCGGGUCUCUGGGCCGAUACUGACGCUGAGGCGCGAAAGCCAGGGGAGCGAACGGG